rnacentral:rRNA from 1 species
AUUGAACGCUGGCGGCAUGCCUUACACAUGCAAGUCGAACGGUAACAGGUCUUCGGAUGCUGACGAGUGGCGAACGGGUGAGUAAUACAUCGGAACGUGCCCGAGAGUGGGGGAUAACGAGGCGAAAGCUUUGCUAAUACCGCAUACGAUCUCAGGAUGAAAGCAGGGGACCGCAAGGCCUUGCGCUCACGGAGCGGCCGAUGGCAGAUUAGGGAGUUGGUGGGAUAAAAGCUUACCAAGCCGACGAUCUGUAGCUGGUCUGAGAGGACGACCAGCCACACUGGGACGGAGAAACGGCCCAGACUCCUACGGGAGGGAGCAGUGGGGAAUUUUGGACAAUGGGCGCAAGCCUGAUCCAGCCAUGCCGCGUGCAGGAUGAAGGCCUUCGGGUUGUAAACUGCUUUUGUACGGAACGAAAAGACUCUGGUUAAUACCUGGGGUCCAUGACGGUACCGUAAGAAUAAGCACCGGCUAACUACGUGCCAGCAGCCGCCGCCGUAA